GACGAACGCUGGCGGCGUGCUUAACACAUGCAAGUCGAACGAUGACGACCGAGCUUGCUCGGUCUGAUUAGUGGCGAACGGGUGAGUAACACGUGAGCAACCUGCCCCUCACUCUGGGAUAACCUCGGGAAAUCGGGGCUAAUACCGGAUAUGAGCUCCUGUCGCAUGGCGGGUGUUGGAAAGUUUUUCGGUGGAGGAUGGGCUCGCGGCCUAUCAGUUUGUUGGUGGGGUAGUGGCUCACCAAGGCGAUGACGGGUAGCCGGCCUGAGAGGGCGACCGGCCACACUGGGACUGAGACACGGCCCAGACUCCUACGGGAGGCAGCAGUGGGGAAUAUUGCACAAUGGGCGAAAGCCUGAUGCAGCGACGCCGCGUGAGGGAUGACGGCCUUCGGGUUGUAAACCUCUUUCAGCAGGGAAGAAGCGAAAGUGACGGUACCUGCAGAAGAAGCGCCGGCUAACUACGUG
rnacentral:rRNA from 1 species